rnacentral:lncRNA from 1 species
CCUCUGUUUCUUCCCCAUCUUACUCUGCCAUGGAUUCCAGGGAAGGAGGUGUGCUCGGAGGGAGGCAAAGCUGAGAGCCUGCUACAGGGCCAGGGAGGGGAUUGUAUAGCUUCGGGAAGGGACUCACAGCAAAACUCAGGGGAGAUGUCCCUUAGCUUGGGGACACCAGCAGCCCUGCUGUUAUUCAGGUGACCAGCUGCAAGUGCGAUGGGAACUCCUUCGGCCGCUUGUGUGAACACUCUAAGGACCUCUGCACUGAGCCAUGCUUCCCUAAUGUGGACUGCAUUCCUGGGAAGGGCUGUCAGGCCUGCCCUCCAAACAUGACUGGAGAUGGGCGUCAUUGUGUAGCUGUGGAGAUCUCUGAAUUCUGCCAGAACCAUUCCUGUCCUGUGAAUUACUGCUAUAACCAUGGCCAUUGCGACAUCUCUGGGCCUCCAGACUGCCAGCCCACUUGCACCUGCGCCCCUGCCUUCACUGGUAACCGCUGCUUCCUGGCCGGGAACAAUUUCACUCCCAUCAUCUAUAAAGAGCUUCCCUUGAGGACCAUCACGCUCUCUCUCAGGGAGGACGAAAACGCCUCUAACGCUGACGUCAAUGCCUCGG